CAGUAGCCGCGGUAAUACAGAGGGUGCAAGCGUUAAUCGGAAUUACUGGGCGUAAAGCGCGCGUAGGUGGUUCGCCAAGUUGGAUGUGAAAUCCCCGGGCUCAACCUGGGAACUGCAUCCAAAACUGGCGAGCUAGAGUAUGGUAGAGGGUGGUGGAAUUUCCUGUGUAGCGGUGAAAUGCGUAGAUAUAGGAAGGAACAUCAGUGGCGAAGGCGACCACCUGGACUGAUACUGACACUGAGGUGCGAAAGCGUGGGGAGCAAACAGGAUUAGAUACCCCCGUAGUCCCUGUCUCUCAUAC
rnacentral:rRNA from 1 species